GACGAACGCUGGCGGCGUGCCUAAUACAUGCAAGUAGAACGCUGAAGAGAGGAGCUUACUCUUCUUGGAUGAGUUGCGAACGGGUGAGUAACGCGUAGGUAACCUGCCUUGUAGCGGGGGAUAACUAUUGGAAACGAUAGCUAAUACCGCAUAACAAUGGAUGACACAUGUCAUUUAUUUGAAAGGGGCAAUUGCUCCACUACAAGAUGGACCUGCGUUGUAUUAGCUAGUAGGUGAGGUAAUGGCUCACCUAGGCGACGAUACAUAGCCGACCUGAGAGGGUGAUCGGCCACACUGGGACUGAGACACGGCCCAGACUCCUACGGGAGGCAGCAGUAGGGAAUCUUCGGCAAUGGGGGCAACCCUGACCGAGCAACGCCGCGUGAGUGAAGAAGGUUUUCGGAUCGUAAAGCUCUGUUGUAAGUCAAGAACGGGUGUGAGAGUGGAAAGUUCACACUGUGACGGUAGUUUACCAGAAAGGGACGGCUAACUACGUG
rnacentral:rRNA from 1 species